rnacentral:rRNA from 1 species
UACCUGCAGCUCGAGUGGUAACCGCUAUUAUUGGGCCUAAAGCGUCCGUAGCCGGUUUGGUAAAUAUCUGGGUAAAUCGUGAGGCUUAACUUCACGAAUUUCGGAUAGACUGCCAGACUUGGGAUCGGGGGAGGUCAGAGGUACUCCAGGGGUAGCGGUGAAAUGUUGUAAUCCUUGGAGGACCACCGGUAGCGAAGGCGUCUGACUAGAACGAGUCCGACGGUGAGGGACGAAGCCCUGGGGCGCAAACCGGAUUAGAUACCCGGGUAGUCCAGGGUGUAAACUAUGUGGGCUUUGUAUUGGAGGUCCCAUGUGGGCGUCCAGUGCAGAAGAGAAGUUGUUAAGCCCACCGCCUGGGAAGUACGGUCGCAAGGCUGAAACUUAAAGGAAUUGGCGGGGAGCACAGCAACGGGAGGAGCGUGCGGUUU